UGCUCUGCUGUCAUGAAUUCUGAAGGAUGAGAAAACUACAACCCCCAUAAGUCUACCAGGAAAUGAUGUUGCUUAGCUUUUUCCAGAGAGUCAGACAAAUGAAGGACUUGUCCUUGAGAUUUCCCCUGAAGCCAGUUCCUUCUUCCUGACUGAAUGGAAAGAGUGUCUUCAUUGGAAGGAUAGUGAGAUCCUGGAUGAACAUUAACCAUGAAGAUCCUUCACUGUCUCUCAGUUGUUAUCUUUUUCUUAUUUCAGGCUCUUCAAGGGGAGAGCCCUGCAGAAGCUAUGCUGCUUACCUGUGCCUCCGUGGGUGGAUUCUGUCUCCUGCUACCCAACGAGACUUGCCCCUCAGGUGUUAUGCUGGAUAUUCCUUGUCAUUUCAAAAGACAAUGUUGCUCAAAGUCAAGAGUUUAACCUGGACUUUUCUGGAUUAAAUCUGUUUAGAAAUGCCUCUGUGCAGCUUCCAUCCAUUCCAUUGUAAUCUGCAGCUGAGCUGAUGUACUGUACAGUGAACUCAAUAGGCAGGGCUUUCCUCUCUGUUCUGGGAAUGACCAGCAGUGAUGGUUCAGGAGCCUUCUAUAAUUUAUCUGGCUGUUACGGCUGCCUUUUAGGUGAAAUACUAGACAAGGGUCUUAAACCUUUGUGUAGAAGAGAGUAUUUUUGCUGAAAUGUUGCUUGUCAUAUGCUGAAAUUCUCUCUUCUUAUCAGCUAUUAAAGGUACAACAGUGUUGACUUGGCAACCCCAAUUUACACUUAGCAAAUACAUUUUCCACCAAGAGUCUAAAAUGAGGUAGGAUUUUUGGAAUACUUAGUACUUUGGAAUACUUAAUAUUUACUUUAAGCAAUCUCAGAUGGAUCAUCUAGACUGCUCUGUAGAUCAGUAUUAGUGUACGUAUUAUGAACCUUAUCUAUGGUUCAAGACACUGCAGUUCAGGAGGUAAAGCACAAUGGAACCAUUCCACAAAUAUAUGUGUGGCAUAAUAUAUUGGAGAACCAGAGCAAUGGUGUGGUUUGAGCAUUGGAUUAUGACUCUGGAGACUAGGAUUUUAUUCCGUGUGGCCUGGAAACCUACUGGGUGACCUUGGUUGAGUCGCACACUCUCAGCCCCGAGAGAUCCUAUGAUAGGAUUGACUUAAGGUUGCCAACAACAUUGGAGAGCUUCAUAAUUCACAUCUCUGGCAUAAAAAUAACAGUUACUCCAUCAUGUAGCAAUAUGGCCAUCAUAGUCAGCAGAUCUAGGAGUGCCAUUAGUGACAAUAUUUGCCUCAGAAUGAAAGAGCAUUUGACUACUGGAAGAUUUGUCUAUGCAUUCUGAAAUUAAAACAAUCUCUCCUUCCUUUUAUUGUGCCUUGUGAAUGAGACUUUCC